rnacentral:tRNA from 1 species
GGGGUUGUGGCUCAGUGGUAGAGCACUCACCUAGCAAGUGCAAGGCCCUGGGUUUGAUCCACAGCACCACA